rnacentral:rRNA from 1 species
ACUAAAUAGAUACCCCGGUAGUCCACGCUGUAAACGAUGAUUACUCGAUGUUGGCGAUACACAGUCAGCGUCUGAGCGAAAGCAAUAAGUAAUCCACCUGGGGAGUACGAUCGCAAGAUUGAAACUCAAAGGAAUUGACGGGGGCCCGCACAAGCGGAGGAGCAUGUGGUUUAAUUCGAUGAUACGCGAGGAACCUUACCUGGGCUCGAACGUAAGAUGACUGUAGGUGAAAGCUUACAUCUCUUCGGAGCAUUUUACGAGGUGCUGCAUGGUUGUCGUCAGCUCGUGCCGUGAGGUGUCGGGUUAAGUCCCAUAACGAGCGCAACCCCUACCUUUAGUUGCCAACAGGUCAUGCUGGGGACUCUAAAGGAACUGCCUACGCAAGUAGUGAGGAAGGCGGGGAUGACGUCAAAUCAGCACGGCCCUUACGUCCAGGGCUACACACGUGCUACAAUGGCCGAUACAGAGGGCAGCUACCUGGUGACAGGAUGCAAAUCUCCAAAGUCGGUCUCAGUUCGGAUC